CUGACCGAUAGUGAACCAGUACCGUGAGGGAAAGGCGAAAAGAACCCCGGCGAGGGGAGUGAAAAAGAACCUGAAACCGUGUACGUACAAGCAGUGGGAGCACGCUUAGGCGUGUGACUGCGUACCUUUUGUAUAAUGGGUCAGCGACUUAUAUUCUGUAGCAAGGUUAACCGAAUAGGGGAGCCGAAGGGAAACCGAGUCUUAACUGGGCGUUAAGUUGCAGGGUAUAGACCCGAAACCCGGUGAUCUAGCCAUGGGCAGGUUGAAGGUUGGGUAACACUAACUGGAGGACCGAACCGACUAAUGUUGAAAAAUUAGCGGAUGACUUGUGGCUGGGGGUGAAAGGCCAAUCAAACCGGGAGAUAGCUGGUUCUCCCCGAAAGCUAUUUAGGUAGCGCCUCGUGAAUUCAUCUCCGGGGGUAGAGCACUGUUUCGGCAAGGGGGUCAUCCCGACUUACCAACCCGAUGCAAACUGCGAAUACCGGAGAAUGUUAUCACGGGAGACACACGGCGGGUGCUAACGUCCGUCGUGAAGAGGGAAACAACCCAGACCGCCAGCUAAGGUCCCAAAGUCAUGGUUAAGUGGGAAACGAUGUGGGAAGGCCCAGACAGCCAGGAUGUUGGCUUAGAAGCAGCCAUCAUUUAAAGAAAGCGUAAUAGCUCACUGGUCGAGUCGGCCUGCGCGGAAGAUGUAACGGGGCUAAACCAUG
rnacentral:rRNA from 1 species